UGACUUCUCUGAGCCUCGGUUUCCUUAGCUGGGUGUUUUAAUUGUUAACGCGGUAUUUUUUUUUCUUUUUUUUAGACGGGGUCUCACUCUGUCGCCUGUGCUGGAAUGCUCGCCUGUGCUGGAAUGCAGUGAUGUGAUCUCGGUUCACUACAGUCUCUUUCAGUGCUUUGGUGCCUGUCCAGUAGGAAGUUCUGCCUCUUGGCUGAUCUCACCCUGACAUGCUGCACUUUUCUGGAUGUAGAUGGUGCAGGGGGAAGGUGGCACCCUCUUAUGAAUCUGAUACUUACGAGGCUGUGGCUGCUGCAACAUCAGAAUCCACUACUAUAGAGCCUGGCAAGCUGGAUGUGGGAGCCACAGAGGGCCAUGACCUGCAGCACAUCAGCAACCAAAAGAUGCCCACAGGUUCCCCUGAGAACAGCCUGAGUUUAAAAUCUCUACCACCAAGUGAGGAAGACAAUGAUGAUGUCCAGAUUUUACCAUCAGAUGUCCAGGGUUCUUCUGAGGACAACCUGAGUUUAGUAUGCCCACCACCAAAUGAAGAUGAUGAUGGUAAUCAUGAUGUUGAUGAUGCCCAGAUUUCACCAUCAUCUGUCCUGGGUAUGUACCUUGAACUAACUCACUUUCUGAGAAACAAACUUGCUGGCUUUAAUAUAUAG
rnacentral:lncRNA from 10 species